AGCUCCAAUAGCGUAUAUUAAAGUUGUUGCAGUUAAAAAGCUCGUAGUCGGACUCUAGGCAAGGCCGUGUGGUCUGCCGUCAGGCAGUACUGCGCGCGCCGCGUCUGACCGUUGGGGAGUGCAUGAUGUUCUCAUGCAGGAACCAAGAUUUACUUUGAAGAAAUUAGAGUGUUCAAGGCAGGCUCACGCUUGAAUACAUUAGCAUGGAAUAAUAGAAUAGGACGUUGGUUCUAUUUUGUUGGUUUGAGAACCAAGGUAAUGAUUAAUAGGGACAGUUGGGGGCAUUGGUAUUCGGUAGUCAGAGGUGAAAUUCUUGGAUUUACCAAAGACCAACUAGUGCGAAAGCAUUUGCCAAGGAUGUUUUCA
rnacentral:rRNA from 1 species